ACGGGUGUAGCUCAAUUGGUAGAGCGACGGUCUCCAAAACCGUAGGCUGCGGGUUCGAUUCCUGCCACCCGUGCC
rnacentral:tRNA from 1 species